ACCCUAACCAUUAUGCUAUCAUGUUGGGCCCAAUUUUUUUAUCAGUUUAGUAUCUGAUAUGUCCUCUAUCCCAGGACAAUAUAUUAAAUGGAUUUUGGGAAUUAGGAGUUGGAAUAGGAGCUUGCUUUGUCCAAGCCACGCAUCGACCUGGUAUUGCAGUGCUUCCAGGAGCAGUGCACCCCCU